rnacentral:rRNA from 1 species
UGGGGAAUUUUGGACAAUGGGCGCAAGCCUGAUCCAGCCAUGCCGCGUGCGGGAAGAAGGCCUUCGGGUUGUAAACCGCUUUUGUCAGGGAAGAAAUCUUCUGAGUUAAUACCUCGGGAGGAUGACGGUACCUGAAGAAUAAGCACCGGCUAACUACGUGCCAGCAGCCGCGGUAAUACGUAGGGUGCGAGCGUUAAUCGGAAUUACUGGGCGUAAAGCGUGCGCAGGCGGUCUUGCAAGACAGGUGUGAAAUCCUCGGGCUUAACCUGGGAACUGCACUUGUGACUGCAAGGCUGGAGUACGGCAGAGGGGGAUGGAAUUCCGCGUGUAGCAGUGAAAUGCGUAGAUAUGCGGAGGAACACCGAUGGCGAAGGCAAUCCCCUGGGCCUGUACUGACGCUCAUGCACGAAAGCGUGGGGAGCAAACAGGAUUAGAUACCCUGGUAGUCCACGCCUUAAACGAUGUCAACUGGUUGUUGGACGGCUUGCUGUUCAGUAACGAAGCUAACGCGUGAAGUUGACCGCCUGGGGAGUACGGCCGCAAGGUUG